AAUAAAUAAAAGGGAAUAAAAAAAAGAAAAAGGAAAAAAACGCUGUAAACACACGAUGCUCUCAAUCUCUCUCAAAGCCCUCAAACUCGCACCUCUCUCUCUAUCGCGUCUCACUCUCUAUCGCAUCUCACUCUCUCUGAAUCGCAUCUCACUCUCUGCAAACAAACGUGGCUGAAAAGAGAGAGGAGUUCACCUCCGGUGACGACAACGACGAGCUCAGUAUCCCCUUUAUAUACCCAGCUUAUUAGGGUUUUCAAUUCAGCUUAUGGAGAUCAAAAUGGCAUGCUCUUGGGAGUGCUUUAAGGGGUUCAGAUUGUUUGCCUCAAAUCGGUACUCAAGCUGAAGAGUAAAUUCGGGUUGGAGGGUUCAUUGUCUUUGGUUGGGUCAAUGUAACUUCGAAUUUCAACGGCCUUUCCACCAACUUCAUUAGCAGAAACAGGAGGUAUAGAAGCAGGUUCGGUUGCAAUGAUAGUGAUUUCUUGAAGAGAUGACUGAAAAUUAGCAAGUAACCUGUUCAGAUCUCGAGGCCUCACGACAAAGUUGCUUGGAAAUUCUGCCUUUCGGAGCAUCCGGCUACGGUAAUUUCACUGUCAAAUGAUCAAUAUUUGCAAUAGGUGUCCUAAGAACAGCACAAACAGUCCUUCAGAAGUACGCUACAUUGCACGGGAACACUGGAAACCGUGUAUACGUCAAAGAAGCUAGGUUUGAAAUGUAUGGAUUGAUAUGCAGAACGUGAUGAAUUGAUAGUGUGAAAAAGAAGCUGAGAAGAAAAAGCUUGAACUGAGAGUUCAUUUCCAAUACGUGCGAGGCACGCGAUGCAUCGUGCAAAGGUUUUGAGAGAGUUAUCGCUCAACGUCAACUCCAUUUCUACGGUGUAGGAUCUCAUUCCCUUCUUGUGUUCAACAUUUGAUGGUUUUUAAUCAUAGCACCUUCCUCAUUCGAACAUCUUUCUCCAGGAAAAUGUUCCUUUGAUGAAUAUUCCGUAGCAGGUCUCAAUUUAUCACUUCUUAUGAAUAAGCCCAUUUUGAACUACUGCCAACAGCAACAUCUGCAGAAGACCGCCCAGGCCGUAUUUGCUCGCCACACGGUUUGAGGUCUGUCAAAUGACCGGAUUACGGAUUGGUUCAGGUCGGAGAGGUGGAUACCUUGGCGCCAGGAAGCUUCCCAUAUCAGACCCGUGACAGAUAAGCUGUGAUGCAGUUGCAAAGAGUGCGUAAUAGGCCAAGGGUUGCACUUGAAAACAUCGAGGAAUCCUUUCCAAAACCUCGUCUGCUGUCGCAUCAAAAUUCCAAUUGAGGGAGUUGGACUGAACUUACGCAUGAAGAUUCAAACAUAAGAGAAAUUCACUGAACCGCUGUUGACAGGAUUCGGCAACUUUUGGGUUCCUUCCCUGGAACCAACAUCAACAAUAACUGUGUAAAAAUUAAAUGAGGAACAUAGAAUUGACCCCUUACUUCUCACUGUGUUUUCUUUUAAGUGAUCCACUAACAGCAGCUUUAGCUUUUGCCCACUCUUCCAAUGAAGCGGCACUUCUCAUAAAUAGGCAAGUUUCUCCUAUUUCAACAUUUGCAAUGGAUCCUUCCCUUGAACUUGUUUCAACUGUUUUCUCAACAGACCUUCUUCUUUGUAAUUUUUCAGUAGCUCUUUUAUUUGUGUAUGAUGAAAAUUCGGAUGAAGGUUCAAUACCGUUAUUGCUAUAAUAUGAAAACUUGUCAGAAUCUUUGGAAGCUUGAAUUUUAGCAGUAAACAGGAUGCUCGUUUGUGGGUAAACACGCCUGAGCUGGCUUUGUA